CCUCUCUAUUCUAUUCUAUUCUAUUCUAUUGUAUUUUACUCUAUCCCAUUCUAUUCUAUUUUUCUCUUUCAUAUAGGUUUUUCAUCGAUCCUGGAAAUAUGUAUUGUUUAAGCGUCGAACGUCGUCCCGAUACUCGAAUUGCCCUGUCCGUUCUCUCUCUCUUUCUCUCUCUCUCUCUUUUUUCUUUUUUUUUUUUUCCUUUUUUUUUCCCCUCCAGGACCACCACCAAGGCUGACCUAAAAACUCUCUUACCUUUCUUUUAUCCGAUCUCUCUAUAACGUCAAGUAAACCGAACGAACAAUAAACGAAAUCCUCUUCUGUCUGUUAUGAAAAUAUGACGCGUAUAUAGACAUCUGAGAAUGUCGAUGACGGGUGUAGGAUAAAUAAGCUCGACCCGAAUAAUCUCGCGUUAUUUUUAGAUCGUAUCGAUCUUAAACGAAUGAAAUAUUUUCCAACGAUAAUCGACGGUAUAUAAUUCCUUAUUUCACCGACAAUUCAUGUUAACUGUUCUUAAUCGAUCCUAAGUUGUAUUGUAUGUAUACAUAUGUGUACAUAUGUAUUGUACAUAGUAUACGUAACAUGUCGGUUGGCGUAACGGCUAGAAUCGUCUCUUACGAAACCGGAUGGAUGGAUAUUCAGGUUCAGAUUCGGGUUUGAAUAAUUGCAAAAGGGAUUUAUGAUUGUUGGUAUGCAUAUAUGUAUAUAUAUACAUAACAUAUACUCUUUUAUAAAGGAUAUUUCAUUCUAAUUCUAAUUUCUCCAACUGGUUGGUUUUCUUUUCUGUUUUUUUUUUUUUUUUUUUUUUUUUUCUUUUUUUUUCCCCCUUCUUUUUUCAAGUUCAUUGUAAUUUCUUAAAGUAUCUUUCGACCAUUGAAAAAAUAAAAAUACAUAUUUAUAUAUGUAUAUCAUCUACGUAUCCAAUUAUACAAUAUUAAUUAAUGGAUAUGAAUCAUUGUAUCGUACUUAUAACAACAAAUGAAUCAGAGAUAUGAUGAGUAUGAAUUAAGUGUUCGGAUAAAAAAAAAAAAAAAAAAAAAAAAAAAAAAAAAAAAAAAAAAAAAAAAAAAAAAAAAAAAAAAAAAGAAAUAGAAAAAAAAGGAAAGUGAUAAGAAAAUUGCCCAAUGAUGAGAAAAUGAGAUAUGAUUUUGUGGCCAGAGUCAAUCUAGCAGAAGGGACACACAAGCUAAGGUACAUUUUGGUUACCAACGAGAAAUUGUCUCGGGAAGGUCUGAGAUAAAGUCGGAUUCGAAUAAAAUUUUUAUUUAUUUUCGAAUAUAUGCUCUAGAAGGGCAGCCUUGUUAUACGGGGCCGAGGAAAACAGAAAUAUUUGACGAUCGAUCUUUAAGAAACCUAGGACGUCAUGUUAUCUCUUUUCCACUUUCGUUCCUUAUCUUAUAAUUUUUUUUGUCUAUUUAUUUUUAUAUAUAUUAUACAAUUAAAUCUGUCGCGAAAAAACGAAAUUACUUUCCGAACAACCCAAUAUAUAUAUAUAUAUAUAUAUAUAUAUAUAUAUAUAUAUUUAUAUAUAUAUAUAUUUCUUGAUGAGAAAAGAUUAUUUUAAACUUUACUAUUUACAUAUCAUCUUUUAUCCACGAACAGAUACCUACGUAAAUCUUUCUCUAUUCUCUGUUCGAAAGUGGAGAGGGAUACUGACAGAGGUCGAGUCGGUCAUGUCGAUGGAAAUUCCCGCGACUCGCGAUUUCAGCACAAUCUGCAAGCCGUUCUUCGUGUGCGUCUUCUAAUCCGAGACGCGCGGUGAGAAGGACGGAACUCAAUUCAGACUAAUCUGACUCUGGCCGUUUCUAUCUUCGAUUCUGAGGGCUUCUUUUUAUCAAAUUUGUUUGCUUUCUUUUCUUUUUUUUGCUUUAUUUUUUUUUUUUUUUUUAAUUUCUUUUUCCUCUUUAUUUCUCUCUUACGGAGUAUCGAUCGUUUUACGGAGUUAGAGAAAAGUUUAAUGUCAUCAAAAGCGAUUAUAAUUGAAUAAAUAUUUAAUUAAUCGUAUUGUAAUUAACGUAUGACUUUUUUUUUUCUUUUUUUUCUUUUCAUAUAACUUUUUCAAAGCUUAGUAAAAAGUAUUUUCAAUAUUGAUCGUAAAAAUGAAAAUGAAAAGAGAUAAGAAAAUAGUGCAACUUUCGAUUUUUGUAAUAAUAGUAAAUUAAUAGUACGACGUCCGGAAGGAAUAAAUAAUGGAUUAAUCCUUUGCACUGCAAAAACGACAUACGCUCAAACGUUCGUCAAUACAUAAAAGAAUUGGACAUAUAUUGGAUAUAUAUAUUGCUGUCAUAUGGCAACCAAUCAAAUUAUGACUAAGUAAAGUGAAAUGUAAACGAGAACGUGCAUAUGAUAUAUCAUAAAUUAAUAUAACGAUCUUCAUCAGUUAAUUUCGAUGUUACAUUAAUAAUUAUUAAUGGGAAUCGAAAAAAUUACCUGGCUGACGAUUAAUAUAAUAUAAGCAUUACGAUUGAUAUAACUAGAUAUCGAUUAUGCGCUUCGAUAAUUUAUUUGAAAUUUUUCGCAUAGUUCGAGGAUUAUCGUAACGCAAUCCGCGCGAGGACGUAUUAUUGUUCAUGAAUUCCAUGAAUGUUUCUUAAUCAUCUUACUAGGAAAUGGAAUUCGAACGAUAACCAUCGAUAUCGAUUCGAUCGAAUUAAUUGAAUUUAUAGUGGUCCAUAAAAUUAAAACUGUGUUCGGACGACGGUGAUCGUGCAUCCAGCAUACACAUUCGACGAAACUUCUCUUGCCUGGUUGGCAUCGAUCGCGGGAGACCGAACGAGCAGAUUUCUCCGUGGAAAGCGAAUUUGAUUAAUUUUAUAUAUUUCCCGCAUGAGAUAGCUCGUCGUUUACCUAUCGUUUCAUUUCUAUCUAAUCAAUUUCUCUUUAGUUUAAACCUAUUAAUUUACAUGGAUACCGUUACUCAUCUUAAUUAUAUAUGUAUAUACAUAUGCACAUACACAC